rnacentral:lncRNA from 1 species
AUAGAGAAUUUGAAGCACGACACGUACACAAAUUGAAAAUAUCAAGGUAUUUAUUGUGAAUAUACAAGUGUAGGAUACAUAUGCAUUACAAUGAAUAAAUACCAAUGUUAUUGGUUGAACAACAUAUCAUUCGUAUCAAUUUUACAAUAGAGAACACAUCUAUGGAGAAUAUUACACCAUAGAAUUUGCAACAAUUCGACAAAAGGCAAAGAUCUUCUGAACGGUAUUACAUUUUUCAAUCUAUUAAUUUAAACUACGAUUAUUGCCAAGUAAAGUCUUCCAAUUAUGUUUGCUUCAUCAUCCAAUCGAAGAAUUCAGCUGCAACUCAAUUAUCCUUUUUUGAGUCUGCAAAAGAUAAAUGGACGUUAUAGUUAUGUGAUUGGAUGUACACAAAUAUAAUUUUGGAAUAUGGAAGAAAAGACUCAACUUACAAAAGCAAAAGGUGGGGUUAAGUAUCCUAAAGCAAAAGCAUCACCAAUUCUCUUAAAUCAGAAACUUGCCUAACUCACUCCUCAUUAUCCAGAAUAGGUUCAUCUAUGCACAUAAGUGCAAAUUCGGCACCUAGCUAAAUAUCACCAAUCUUAGUUUCUAGAUCAAUACUCCGAAUAGUAGCAUAUGGAACGUACCAUGGUUUGGAUAUGUGAAAAGUCUUUAAAACUACUUUGGAUGCAACCUAUAUUAUGAUCAAUAUUAUUAUUCAACAACAAUGAUAACGGAAUUCGCAUGAACAAUAUUUCAAUGGAUACACGUGGUCAUAGUUCGGUUAGACUACCAUGGCCAUUCACUUCCUUAGGGAUACACACUCAGGCUACAAGUGGGACUAAUAGAGGAAUGCCCACACCAGCAUGCAUGUAUUAUGUGGGUGUUUGUGGGCAGCCCGCAAUCAACCAUGUUGCGUUUGCUUGCCUAGAUAAUCCCAUUUAAUCCCACAUAGUAGUAAACUACUGCACAAUUGUAUUAAUAGUUUCUACAGUCACCAAGUGGAUGAUGUGUGGUAAGCACCCACAAAAAAAGUGUUGAGACAAUUGUACUUAGCUCUUGUACAAAUCAAGACUAACUUGUUGUAUCGGGACAUUAGUUGAACACAGCAGCACAAACAACUAUCAAUCAGGUCACUACAUGAGCAAGCACAUGCAAAGUGGCCCCCAGUGCAAACAAAUUAGAGUGGCCGAUAAAGCAUCAUCAUACCAUUGAGAAUCAGGAGCAGAGGAUCUGUGCUGUAUGUGCGUUCUUGUUGUUGCGUCGGGCAUGUGUGUGUAUAUGCUUUCUAGUACGUAACAAAAGUACCCGUAAGAUGUUUUCUAACACUAGACAUUCCAUGGCAAAGUUAUAAAGAAUUUAAACAUUCUAUACGAAUUGUCAAUGAACGCGUCCAUAUGACUGCCUAAACAUAUACCUGGAAACCAGUAGCCAUGAUUACAGUGGCUUUAAACAGCAUGGAAUUGAUAUGCAUAAACCCUUGAGGCAUCAACACUAUCCGAGCUCCCCACAAAUAUUCUGUAAGAGUAGAAUGAUAAACAACUUGAGACAGAAAUAGAUAUACAUCCAAAAGCUACAGACUAUAAGCAUGCAGUAGAAAAGCUACAGACUAUAUUCAACAAAUUUGAAAUUAAAUGUAGAACCUAUUUUGCACAUAAUGUAACCAGGAUGGAUACUUGGUAAAAGGUGAUGGUUUCUUACAUUCACCUAAAUAAAAAAGUAACUAGGAUGGGUAAUUGGUACAAGGUGAUGCUAUCACGCAUUCAGUUAUAUCAAACUAGCUGAAAUAGAUAUACAUCCAAAAGAUACAGACUAUAAGCAUGCAGUAGAAAAGCUACAGACUAUAUUCAACAAAUUUGAAAUUAAAUGUAGAACCUAUUUUGCACAUAAUGUAACCAGGAUGGAUACUUGGUAAAAGGUGACGGUUUCUUACAUUCACCUAAAUAAAAAAGUAACUAGGAUGGGUAAUUGGUACAAGGUGAUGCUAUCACGCAUUCAGUUAUAUCAAACUAGCUGAUGAGAUUGAGAUACGAGAAAUAUAAGAAUUAAAGUGGAAAUGAAUAGACAAGCUUCAGCUAUAUUUUUAUAGUGAUUAUUGGGAUAUACUUACUACACUAAAAUGAUCAUACAUCUGCUAUAACCCUUACCAUGAAAAGCACUAUGUAUUACACCUACACACCCUGUCAGUAAAGUAGAUGUCCAUGUUGCUCUUCACAUCUCUACUACCCAAUCUGAUGGAUCUAGUUUGCCGAGUGCAACACUAGGCAAAGGGGCAAGCCUUUGCCGAUAGACCUAUUUAGCAAAAUAUAAAAAAAAUCGCACAGCUAUUCGAGUAUGUAUGUGUAACUGCCAGUUUGAGAGUAUUCAAGUAUGUAUGGAUAUGUGACGGUAUGUACAUCUCCACCACGGGAAAAACACGUACUACUACUCCCUUUGUUCCUAAAUAUUUGUCUUUGUAGAGAUUUAAAUGGACUACCACAUACGUAUGUAUAUGGACAUAUUUUAGAGUGUAGAUUCACUCAUUUUGUUCCGUAUGUAGUUACUUGUUGAAAUCUCUAGAAAGACAAAUAUUUAGAAACGGAGGGAGUAUUAUAUUACCUGGAGAAUCAAUUAGCAGCGGGCAUGUACCCUCGACGCCGGUCUCGCAUUUUGCUCUCGUUUCCACUAGUACACAUACAAGCAAGCAGCCAGCUGGAUGGAUUAUUCUGGAAGCUAGCUUACAUAUGGAUCGAUUCCUCGUGGAUGCUAGCAGAUGACGAGGACUGGUGGCUCCUAUCGCCGGAGGUGCGCACCGUCCAUGCACUCGUUCUGCUCAAGCCUGUUCAAUUCUUACGGCCACCGGAGGGAGGGAUGGCUGCCGACGGCGCCGGCUGGAUCUGCCCAUGGAUCUGGCGGCUGCGCGCUCCUCAUGGCCACCUCCUCGGGCCUCCUCGAGCCUGGUGGGGAUGAGGGAACGGCCCCGGGGUCUAGGGUUGCGUCGGCGACCUACAGAGAAAGGGGCGAGCGGUGGAGGCAUGAGGCCCUGGGCUGGCGGCGGUGACUUGCGGAGUGGCAUGCGGCGGCUGCGAUGGCUA